rnacentral:rRNA from 1 species
AGAGUUUGAUCAUGGCUCAGGACGAACGCUGGCUGCGUGCUUAACACAUGCAAGUCGAACGCUGAAGCCCCAGCUUGCUGGGGUGGAUGAGUGGCGAACGGGUGAGUAACACGUGAGUAACCUGCCCCUGACUUCGGGAUAAGCCCGGGAAACUGGGUCUAAUACCGGAUACGACCUGUCCUCGCAUGAGGGUGGGUGGAAAGUUUUUUCGGUUGGGGAUGGGCUCGCGGCCUAUCAGUUUGUUGGUGAGGUAAUGGCUCACCAAGACGACGACGGGUAGCCGGCCUGAGAGGGCGACCGGCCACACUGGGACUGAGACACGGCCCAGACUCCUACGGGAGGCAGCAGUGGGGAAUAUUGCACAAUGGGGGAAACCCUGAUGCAGCGACGCAGCGUGCGGGAUGACGGCCUUCGGGUUGUAAACCGCUUUCAGCAGGGAAGAAGCGAAAGUGACGGUACCUGCAGAAGAAGUACCGGCUAACUACGUGCCAGCAGCCGCGGUAAUACGUAGGGUACGAGCGUUGUCCGGAAUUAUUGGGCGUAAAGAGCUCGUAGGUGGUCGGUCACGUCUGCUGUGGAAACGCAACGCUUAACGUUGCGCGUGCAGUGGGUACGGGCUGACUAGAGUGCAGUAGGGGAGUCUGGAAUUCCUGGUGUAGCGGUGAAAUGCGCAGAUAUCAGGAGGAACACCGGUGGCGAAGGCGGGACUCUGGGCUGUAACUGACACUGAGGAGCGAAAGCAUGGGGAGCGAACAGGAUUAGAUACCCUGGUAGUCCAUGCCGUAAACGUUGGGCACUAG